GACGAACGCUGGCGGCGUGCUUAACACAUGCAAGUCGAGCGGAAAGGCCCUUUUGGGGGUACUCGAGCGGCGAACGGGUGAGUAACACGUGAGUAAUCUGCCCUGCACUUCGGGAUAGCUUCGGGAAACCGAGAUUAAUACCGGAUAGGACCUGGCUGCGCAUGGGGGUGGGUGGAAAGCUGUGGUGGUGUGGGAUGUGGUGGCGGCCUAGCGGCUUGAUGGUGGGGUAGUGGCCUACCAUGGCUUUGACGGGUAGCCGGCCUGAGAGGGUGACCGGCCACACUGGGACUGAGACACGGCCCAGACUCCUACGGGAGGCAGCAGUGGGGAAUAUUGGACAAUGGGCGGAAGCCUGAUCCAGCAACGCCGCGUGAGGGAUGACGGCCUUCGGGUUGUAAACCUCUUUCAGCACAGACGAAGCUCUUUGGGGUGACGGUAUGUGCAGAAGAAGCACCGGCCAACUACGUGCCAGCAGCCGCCGUAA
rnacentral:rRNA from 1 species